rnacentral:rRNA from 1 species
CAGGAUGUUGGCUUAGAAACCAGCCAUCAUUAAAGAAAGCGUAAUAGGCUCACUGAUCGAGUCGUCCUGCGCGGAAGAUGUAACGGGGCUAAACCAUGCACCGAAGCUGCGGCAGCGACACUGACGUGUUGUUGGGUAGGGGAGCGUUCUGUAAGCCGUUGAAGGUGGACUGUGAGGUCUGCUGGAGGUAUCAGAAGUGCGAAUGCUGACAUGAGUAGCGAUAAUGCGGGUGAAAAGCCCGCACGCCGAAAGCCCAAGGUUUCCUGUUCAACGUUCAUCGGAGCAGGGUGAGUCGGCCCCUAAGGCGAGGCAGAGAUGCGUAGCUGAUGGGAAGCAGGUUAAUAUUCCUGCACCGUCGUAUGAUGCGAUGGGGGGACGGAUCGCGGAAGGUUGUCUGACUGUUGGAAUAGUCAGUUUCUGGUUCAUGAAGGCGCUUAGGCAAAUCCGGGCACAUAAUUCAAGGGAUCGGGACGAGGCACUUAGGUGCUGAAGCAAUCGGAAGUGGUUCCAAGAAAAGCCUCUAAGCUUCAGUCAUACGAGACCGUACCGCAAACCGACACAGGUGGGCGAGAUGAGUAUUCUAAGGCGCUUGAGAGAACUCGGGAGAAGGAACUCGGCAAAUUGGUACGUAACUUCGGGAUAAGGUACGCCCUAGUAGUUUGACCACUUUACUGUGGAAGGAUGAACGGGUUGCAAUAAAAUGGUGGCUGCGACUGUUUAAUAAAAACACAGCCACUCUGCAAACACGAAAGUGGACGUAUAGGGUGUGACGCCUGCCCGGUGCUGGAAGAUUAAAUGAUGGGGUGCAAGCUCUUGAUUGAAGUCCCAGUAAACGGCGGCCGUAACAAUAACGGUCCUAAGGUAGCGAAAUUCCUUGUCGGGUAAGUUCCGACCUGCACGAAUGGCGUAACGACAGCCCAGCUGUCUCAACCGCGAACUCGGCGAAAUUGCACUACGAGUAAAGAUGCUCGUUACGCGCAGCAGGACGGAAAGACCCCGGGACCUUUACUACAGUUUGGUAUUGGUGUUCGGAGUGGCUUGUGUAGGAUAGGUGGGAGACGUUGAUGCGGCCACGCUAGUGGUGGUGGAGUCGUUGGUGAAAUACCACUCUGAUUGUUCUGGUUAUCUCACUGUGGACCGUGAUCCGGUUCAAGGACAGUGCCUGAUGGGUAGUUUGACUGGGGCGGUCGCCUCCUAAAGUGUAACGGAGGAGUCCAAAGGUUCCCUCAACCUGGUUGGCAAUCAGGUGUCGAGUGUAAGUGCACAAGGGAGCUUGACUGUGAGACUGACAGGUCGAGCAGGGACGAAAGUCGGGACUAGUGAUCCGGCAGUGGCUUGUGGAAGCGCUGUCGCUCAACGGAUAAAAGGUACCUCGGGGAUAACAGGCUGAUCUUGCCCAAGAGUCCAUAUCGACGGCAUGGUUUGGCACCUCGAUGUCGGCUCAUCACAUCCUGGGGCUGGAGCCGGUCCCAAGGGUAUGGCUCUGUUCGCC